rnacentral:rRNA from 1 species
GCCAGACCUAGCCCUACACAACCUCAACUCAACUAACAUGACAUCCAACAAACCAAAUCAUUUACCCUCAUAAAAGUAUAUGUGAUAGAAAUUAUAAACAGGCGCUAUAGAGUAAGUACCGCAAGGGAAAGAUGAAAGAAAAACUAACAGCACAAAAUAGCAAAGACCUAUCCUUUUACCUUUUGCAUAAUGAAUUAACCAGAAAAACCUUGGCAAAGAGUACUUCAGUCAAGAACCCCGAACCCAGACGAGCUACCUACGGACAGCAUAAGAGCCAAUUCAUCUAUGUAGCAAAAUAGUGAAAAGAUCUGCAGGUAGAGGUGAAAAGCCAACCGAGCCUGGCGAUAGCUGGUUGUCCAGAAACCGAACCUAAGUUCAACUUAAAAUUUGCCCAAAGAAUUAAACAUUAAAUCCUAACACAAAUUUUAAAUAUAGUCAACAGAGGUACAGCUCUAUUGACAAGGGACAAGCCCCGCCUAGAGAGUAAUUCUGUUCGCCCCUCCAUAGUAGGCCUAAAAGCAGCCACCAAUAAAGAAAGCGUUCAAGCUCAACAGUAACAACACCAAAAAUCCCAAAAAUAACCACAAACUCCUAAAUCCCUACUGGACUAAUCUACUACAGUAGAAGGGACAAUGUUAAUAUGAGUAACAAGAAUAAGUUUCUCCAUGCACAAGCUUAUGCCAGAACGGACCAACCGCUGGUAGUUAACAGCCAGACUUUUACACACCACUAAAUAUACCCCAAGUCAUAACUUACUGUUAACCCAACACAGGCGUGCACACUGGAAAGAUUAAAGGAAGUAGAAGGAACUCGGCAAACAUAGAUCCCGCCUGUUUACCAAAAACAUCACCUCUAGCAUACCAACUAUUAGAGGCACAGCCUGCCCAGUGACACAUGUUCAACGGCCGCGGUACCCUGACCGUGCAAAGGUAGCAUAAUCAUUUGUUCUCUAAUUAAGGACUUGUAUGAAAGGCUAAACGAGGAUCUCACUGUCUCCUACUUCCAAUCAGUGAAAUUGACCUCCCCGUGAAGAGGCGGGAAUGAACCUAUAAGACGAGAAGACCCUAUGGAGCUUUAAUUAACUAGCCCAAUCCAAACAUACACAAACCAACAGGAACAACCACCCACAAUCUGGGCUAACAAUUUCGGUUGGGGUGACCUCGGAGCAUAAAAAACCCUCCGAACGGACAUAUACUCAGACUCACCAGUCAACGUAUCACAACGCCACUUAAUUGACCCAAGCAAUUGAUCAACGGAACAAGUUACCCUAGGGAUAACAGCGCAAUCCUAUUUCAGAGUCCAUAUCGACAAUAGGGUUUACGACCUCGAUGUUGGAUCAGGACAUCCAAAUGGCGCAACCGCUAUUAAUGGUUCGUUUGUUCAACGAUUAAAGUCCUACGUGAUCUGAGUUCAGACCGGAGUAAUCCAGGUCGGUUUCUAUCUAUAAACCUCUUCUCCCAGUACGAAAGGACAAGAGAAGCAAGGCCUACUCUGCAAGAGCGCCUUAAAGUUAAACGGAUGAAUUAAUCUAAAUCCAAUCAACCCCAAACAACCAGCCCAAGACCAGGGCUU